UUAUCAUUUUUUUUCUUUAGAGCCUCUCCAAGACGUGCCACCAUUUCCAACACUAGCUGGAAAGAAGUUUCAGCAUCGGGAUCAUGGGACAAACACCAAGAUGGACUUGGCAUAGAGGACCAGUGGCUGAAUGGAGAUGAAACAUCACCUCAAUAAAAGGAUGCCCAAGCUAAGGGCAUCCCUAUCCAGAGAAGGAGAGUGAACAUUCAACACCACUGAUGAAGAUGAAAGAAGACACAGACACACAGGCAAUGGAGGGAAACGUGGACUCUGGAUGGACUUGGUGAAACCACUUGCAUGGUUACUCACAGUGCCCCUUCAGAAUACCUAAGAGGAGGACAAUGACGAGGAGGAG
rnacentral:lncRNA from 1 species